GAUGCAGGCCCGAAGAGGCGGAGGGGAGAGGACGCGGGAAGCCAGUGUGCCCCGGACGCAGUGUCCUAGCGCUCAUCGGGUCAUCCUCUGCAGCCCAGAUUGUCCCUGUCCAAGACUGCGGAAUGAAGAAUCCAGCUUUGAGAACCUGUGUGUAAGUCCUCUCUGGUCAGCAAAGGAAUCUGUGCAGAGCGCCAUGAAUUAGAGGAUGGGGGAAUGAGUGCUUGAAGAUGCCCGAGGUAUGGUCCUUAUCCGUGUGACAUUUGGAGGUCCAGGUGAGAAAUCAGGGUUGAAAACUGCAUGGAGGAUUCAUCAUUUCUGCCCUGAAUUGGAAUCAAUUCCUUAUUGACUUAUUAUUACUGUAUUAAAAGUGUUUUUAAUUAACC
ensembl:processed_transcript AA465934 expressed sequence AA465934